GGAAUUGUUCGCAAUGGGCGCAAGCCUGACGACGCAACGCCGCGUGGAGGAUGAAGAUCUUCGGGUCGUAAACUCCUGUCGAGUGGGAAGAAUAGUUUCCGGGCGAAUAUCCCGGGAGCCUGACGGUACCACUAAAGGAAGCCCCGGCUAACUCCGUGCCAGCAGCCGCGGUAAUACGGGGGGAGCAAGCGUUGUUCGGAUUUACUGGGCGUAAAGGGCGCGUAGGCGGCGCAACAAGUCACUUGUGAAAUCUCCGGGCUUAACUCGGAGCGGCCAAGUGAUACUGUCGUGCUAGAGUGCGGAAGGGGCAACUGGAAUUCUCGGUGUAGCGGUGAAAUGCGUAGAUAUCGAGAGGAACACCUGCGGCGAAGGCGGGUUGCUGGGCCGACACUGACGCUGAGGCGCGAAAGCCAGGGGAGCGAAC
rnacentral:rRNA from 1 species